rnacentral:ncRNA from 1 species
UGACCUCGGAUCAGGUAGGGAUACCCGCUGAACUUAAGCAUAUCAAUAAGCGGAGGAAAAGAAACCAACAGGGAUUGCCCUAGUAACGGCGAGUGAAGCGGCAACAGCUCAAAUUUGAAAUCUGGCUCUUUCAGAGUCCGAGUUGUAAUUUGCAGAGGGCGCUUUGGCGUUGGCAGCGGUCCAAGUUCUUUGGAACAGGACGUCACAGAGGGUGAGAAUCCCGUACGUGGUCGCUCACGCCUUCGCCGUGUAACACGCCCCUCUACGACGAGUCGAGUUGUUUGGGAAUGCAGCUGUAAACUGGGCACCGCGUGAAAUUUCUUCUAAAGCUAAAUACUGGCA